rnacentral:rRNA from 1 species
UACGAAGGGGGCUAGCGUUGUUCGGAAUCACUGGGCGUAAAGCGCACGUAGGCGGAUUGUUAAGUCGGGGGUGAAAUCCUGAGGCUCAACCUCAGAACUGCCUUCGAUACUGGCAAUCUCGAGUCCGGAAGAGGUUGGUGGAACAGCUAGUGUAGAGGUGAAAUUCGUAGAUAUUAGCUAGAACACCAGUGGCGAAGGCGGCCAACUGGUCCGGUACUGGACGCUGAG